rnacentral:rRNA from 1 species
AGAGGAUGGACAUGCGGCGCAUUAGCUAGUCGGCGGGGUAACGGCCCACGAGGGCUACGAUGCGUAGGGGUUCUGAGAGGAAGGUCCCCCACACUGGUACUGAGACACGGACCAGACUCCUACGGGAGGCAGCAGUGAGGAAUAUUGGUCAAUGGGCGGAAGCCUGAACCAGCCAAGUCGCGUGAGGGAAGACGGUCCUAUGGAUUGUAAACCUCUUUUGCAGGGGAGCAAGGCGCGGUACGUGUACCGCGAAGGAGAGUACCCUGAGAAAAAGCAUCGGCUAACUCCGUGCCAGCAGCCGCGGUAAUACGGAGGAUGCGAGCGUUAUCCGGAUUUAUUGGGUUUAAAGGGUGCGCAGGCGGACUGUUAAGUCAGCGGUAAAAUGUCGGUGCUCAACACCGGCCGGCCGUUGAAACUGGCAGCCUUGAGUGAGCGAGAAGUAUGCGGAAUGCGUGGUGUAGCGGUGAAAUGCAUAGAUAUCACGCAGAACUCCGAUUGCGAAGGCAGCAUACCGGCGCCCAACUGACGCUCAGGCACGAAAGCGUGGGUAUCGAACAGGCUUAGAUACCCUGGUAGUCCACGCAGUAAACGAUGAAUGCUCACUGUCCGGGCCGUUUAAGGC